rnacentral:lncRNA from 1 species
GGCUUCUGAGCGGCUCGGGUUCCGCGCUGCCGGCAGGGCUUCGGGGCUCCUUAGAGCCGGACCCUGUUUUUUUAGGAAAGGGCGCUGCGACCACCCCCGUCCCGGGCCUCAGCCCCUCUGCUGCAGACCCUCGGGAUCGUCGCUGGAAAGAUUCUGGAGCUCGGCCGAGAGGGAUGUGUGAGUGGAGACCAGUGAAGUAACAGUUUUUGUGUUACGAUGAUUUCUGUUUUCCUCUGCUGCCCUGUAAUGGCAGGAACUCGGAUAGUCUGGUCUUCAGACCAGGAGGUCUCCCAGGAGAGAAUGGAGAGCCAGCAUGCUGUGUGUCACGGUCCCUGGAUGAACGUUUGUGGAACUGGAUUGAAUUAAACAAGACGUGCAAAGCAAGUGGUUCACGAGAUUCGAUUGCUGUAGGGACCCCGUGGGUGUGGAAUUAGAUUAUUGGUCCUUUCAUGACUGGCUUAUUUCACAGAGCCCGAUGCCGUCGAGGUCCAUCCAUGCUGAGAUAUUUACGGAGCAUCCCCAGCUGCUGGGUGCUGGGACCCACCAGUGGGCAGGAGGGCCGUGCCCACCCCUUCCUGGAAAAGACAUUCACCAGGUAAAUGCAGAGAUUCAGCAUUGGGGUGACCCCAGCACACAGUCCUGAGGGAGGAAGCACAGUGAUUUGAUCGGAUUUGCUUUUCUCUUCCGUUUCGGAUUCCGUCCAACCCUUGAAGGACCUCUGAGGUGCCCCGUGGCUGGUUCUAGGCCCUAUUCAAGCCUCCUCCUCCAGAAAGCCUUCCCAGUCCUGGGCAUCUGUAGCCAGCUCGGCCUUUCUCACCUGGGGCCUGGAACAUCUCCCAUUCUGAACUGCUGUGUUUUGGGUUUACUGUUCUCUGGCUUUUGGUCCCAGGCAGACGGUGGCCUCUUGUGUUCAGGGACAAGGCGAAGAGCAUCCAUGCACCCCCACAGUACCCAGGCUAGGGUCUGUGCCUGCCAGGCCCCCGGCAAAGCCUGGAUGAUUAGGGCUGGGCUGCUCUCCUGCCUCUGUCCUGUCUCUGGCCUCUCCGUAUCAGCUGGUGGUCAUCCCGCCCUGCACCCGUCAUCCCGCCCUGCACCCAUCAUCCCGCCCUGCACCCGUCAUCCCGCCCUGCACGCCCCACCACGUGGAUGAGCUCCCUGGGGAGUUAAUGGCUAAUGGAGUCUCCGCUCUCUCUUGUCAAAUGCAGCCAUCAUCAGCUGGUGCUUUAAGGGACCCUCUCCCGUCCCCACCCUAUUCUCAGGUGGCUCCUACCCACACCACCUAAUGGUGAACCCCAACACGGGGACACAGGCAAUGCCUUCCCAGCACCACUGUGGGUGCCACCAGGCACGACUUCCUAAACACCCACAGAGCAAUACCUGGAAAUUCAGCUGAGGCAUUGGGACCCCAACCUCUCCCAGAGUGGCCCCAGCUCCACGGCGUCUGCAUGGCUCCAAUCAUGAGCAGAGCAGCCCCGACCUCCGUCCUGACCCAGGGCACCAGAGUGCCACUGCGGAUCUCACCACCAUACAAGCCAGACCUGCUAGGAAGCUCUUCCCUGCCCCACCAGCUCUCGGGCCGAUGCACACAACGGGGCCUUUUGAAUUCCCUGAGGUUAAGGUUCCCCUUGAGUCUCCUGGGCUACAAGCAAAUCCCCCGAGGGGAGAAGUCCAGGCUGACACAGCCUCCUGAACCCCUGCCUUGGGAGGCCACACCUCAUUUGCCUCUAGAACAGAUGAUUGGGGAGCACUGUUUGCAGAGUUCUCUCUCUCUGGGUAAGUUCCAAAGCCACAUCUUAGUGGAUGCGCUAUGGCCUGGGUGGAUGGCUCUCGUGUGUUUACAGCUGGGUCCCUUGCUUGGGAGCUGCCCCCGGGUGGGCAGCCUCUCCAACCUGUUUGAGUGCUUUACCUGGAGCAGGAAGAGGGCCUUGUGCUCUGGGCAGUGGUUCCUUGGGCACUGCAUCGUCUUUGCUUCUCUCCAGGGCCCACCUUCCCUGGCGGCUGCAUCCCAGCCGAGGGCAGGCCCCUUUUGCCAGCUGAAGGCAGAAAGGCCGGCAGCCCUGGUGUGGCGGCAGGCAGAGAAACCCCCUGGAGUGGUCUCCGUUCUUCUAAAAGUGAUGUUGACCACCGUGUCGCAGGCAGCUGGCAGAGUGGCGGUUCGAUCUGUCGUUACAGCCUUGCAUCACUGCAGUCUCCCACCCAGGGAGCAUCUCUGUCCAACCACAGCGAGCCUCCAGCUCCUACCCUCUGCCUGGGCUGGGGCAGAGCCUGGGGUCUGGGUGGGAGAAGUGCGACUCUGGGAUUAGACCUUACAAAGCAGGUUCCUCCUGGGAGUCAGCCCGGGUCUAAACGCAGCUGGGUGUGAAGGGGGUGCCAUCGGAUGUCGAGUUAGGAGGAUGAGACCUCCAGCCCCGGCACCCGCAUGUGUCUUUGGAAACCAGCUUUGGCUGCGCCCCUGGGGACACGCCCCUGAGGACACUGUCUGCCGUGGCCUCCCGCUCUCCUCCCCAGCACAGGCAGGGGGUCUCCCUCCUCCACCGCCACUCGCUCGGCCUCACCCUCCCCGCCAGGCACCUGGCUUUUCCCCGCCGACCCCCCCAGGGGGGCUGCGGCCCCCAGAAAGGCUGCACUCUGGGAGCAAAGUGGCCUGAAACCAGAGAAAAGAACGCCGGGGAAUUUGGCUUAAACUCGUUAAACCCAGUGAACCCUCUCGCCAAA